AUUGAACGCUGGCGGCAUGCCUUACACAUGCAAGUCGAACGGCAGCACGGGGGCAACCCUGGUGGCGAGUGGCGAACGGGUGAGUAACACAUCGGAACGUGCCCAGUAGUGGGGGAUAGCUCGGCGAAAGCCGGAUUAAUACCGCAUACGACCUACGGGUGAAAGCGGGGGAUCGCAGGACCUCGCGCUAUCGGAGCGGCCGAUGUCAGAUUAGGUUGUUGGUGGGGAAAGGCCUACCAAGCCGACGAUCUGUAGCUGGUCUGAGAGGACGACCAGCCACACUGGGACUGAGACACGGCCCAGACUCCUACGGGAGGCAGCAGUGGGGAAUUUUGGACAAUGGGCGCAAGCCUGAUCCAGCCAUGCCGCGUGCGGGAAGAAGGCC
rnacentral:rRNA from 1 species